rnacentral:rRNA from 1 species
GACGAACGCUGGCGGCGUGCUUAACACAUGCAAGUCGAACGGAAAGGCCCUGCUUUUGUGGGGUGCUCGAGUGGCGAACGGGUGAGUAACACGUGAGUAACCUGCCCUUGACUUUGGUAUAACUUCAGGAAACUGGGGCUAAUACCGGAUCGGAGCUCCUGCUGCAUGGUGGGGGUUGGAAAUUUUAGGCGGUUGGGGAUGGACUCGCGGCUUAUCAGCUUGUUGGUGGGGUAGUGGCUUACCAAGGCUUUGACGGGUAGCCGGCCUGAGAGGGUGACCGGCCACAUGGGGACUGAGAGACGGACCAGACUCGUACGGGAGGCAGCAGUGGGGAAUAUUGCACAAUGGGAGGAAGCCUGAUGCAGAAGCGCCGCGUGCGGGAUGACGGCCUUCGGGUUGUAAAAAGCUUUCGCCUGUGACGAAGCGUGAGUGACGGUAAUGGGUAAAGAAGCACCGGCUAACUACGUG